rnacentral:rRNA from 1 species
ACGGAGGAUCCAAGCGUUAUCCGGAUUUAUUGGGUUUAAAGGGAGCGUAGGCGGCCCAUUAAGUCAGAGGUGAAAGACGGUAGCUCAACUAUCGCAGUGCCUUUGAUACUGAUGGGCUUGAAUACAGAUGAGGUAGGCGGAAUGUGACAAGUAGCGGUGAAAUGCAUAGAUAUGUCACAGAACACCGAUUGCGAAGGCAGCUUACUAAACUGUGAUUGACGCUGAGGCUCGAAAGCGUGGGGAUCAAACAGGAUUAGAUACCCUGGUAGUCCACGCCCUAAACGAUGAUAACUCGAUGUUGGCGAUACACAGUCAGCGUCCAAGCGAAAGCGUUAAGUUAUCCACCUGGGGAGUACGCCCGCAAGGGUG